rnacentral:lncRNA from 1 species
UUGCCAGUGUCCAUCAUCUCCUUCCUUAUUAGUAGUUGUAUUUAGAUGACUGUCUUCUCUUUUAGAAGAUCUAGCAGAUUUCUUCUGUAUGAUGCUUGAAUUAUUCCUGGCUGGGGAAUAUCCAUCUUGCUCUUCGUCAUCAGAACCGGAAGCAGAUUGGGAUUCGUUUUCUGAGACGUCCUGAUUGGAAGUGAUGUAGUUAAUGUUACGUAUGACAACCUUUCCAGACUUCUUUUUUCUACCAGAGGAUCUACCGCCUUUUCCAGAAGUGUCAUUGUCCAAUUCUGCAUCAUCUUGGG